rnacentral:rRNA from 1 species
AUUGAACGCUGGCGGCAGGCCUAACACAUGCAAGUCGAACGGUAGCACAGAGAGCUUGCUCUCGGGUGACGAGUGGCGGACGGGUGAGUAAUGUCUGGGAAACUGCCCGAUGGAGGGGGAUAACUACUGGAAACGGUAGCUAAUACCGCAUAACGUCGCAAGACCAAAGUGGGGGACCUUCGGGCCUCACACCAUCGGAUGUGCCCAGAUGGGAUUAGCUAGUAGGUGGGGUAAUGGCUCACCUAGGCGACGAUCCCUAGCUGGUCUGAGAGGCUGACCAGCCUCACUGGACCUAAGACACGGUCCAGACUCCUAGGGGAGGCAGCAGUGGGGAAUAUUGCACAAUGGGCGCAAGCCUGAUGCAGACAUGCCGCGUGUAUGAAGAAGGCCUUCGGGUUGUAGAGUACUUUCAGCGGGGAGGAAGGCGGUGAAGUUAAUAGCUUCACCGAUUGACGUUACCCGCAGAAGAAGCACCGGCUAACUCCGUGCCAGCCGCCGCGGUAA